GGACCCGCACAAGUAGUGGAGCAUGUGGUUUAAUUCGAAGAUACGCGCAGAACCUUACCAACACUUGACAUGUUCGUCGCGACUUUAAGAGAUUAAAGUUUUCGGUUCGGCCGGACGAAACACAGGUGCUGCAUGGCUGUCGUCAGCUCGUGUCGUGAGAUGUUGGUUAAGUCCCGCAACGAGCGCAACCCUCACUUUUUAGUUGCCAUCAUUUAGUUGGGCACUCUGAAAGAACUGCCAGUGAUAAGCUGGAGGAAGGUGGGGAUGACGUCAAGUCCUCAUGGCCCUUACGUGUUGGGCUACACACGUGCUACAAUGGUCAACACAAAGGGCUGCGAGCCAGCGAUGGUAAGCC
rnacentral:rRNA from 1 species